rnacentral:lncRNA from 1 species
UUUAUACAAGCCAUUCACUGCCUCAAAGCAAUGGUUUUGCGUUCUUAUCCCAUUUGGGAUCAAAUAUCAACAAGUCUUUCUUCUCACUUCUAAACAUUCUUCAUGUAUCUCUAGUAUUAUAACAUAUGCUAACCCAAAAUAACUUUAUACAAGCCAUUCAUUGCCUCAAAGCAAUGGUUUUGGGUUCUUAUCCCAUUUGGGGACCAAAUAUCAACAAGUCUUUCUACUCACUUCUAAACAUUCUUCAUGUAUCUCUAGCACUUGUAAUCAAUCAAAUUCAUUGUAUUAUAACAUAUUCUAACCCAAAAUAACUUUAUAAAAGCCAUUCACUGCCUCAAAGCCAUGGUUUUGGGUACUUAUCCCAUUUGGGACCAAAUAUCAACAAGUCUUUCUUCUCACUUUUAAACAUUCUUCAGGCAUCUCUAGCACUUGUAAUCAAUGAAAUUCAUUGUAUU